rnacentral:misc_RNA from 1 species
GCCAGCUCCAUCAACAACAGAGGUCCACCAGAAAGGGAAAGCUCAUGGGAGACAAGAAGCACAAGCCUAGACUUCAUGAAACUGAGUGGGCUCUGAGUGACAGCUACCCCAAUCGGUUUAGUUAAUUCCGGAGAAGCGUUAUACCGCUUCUGAUUAGUCGCAUAUAAGCGGCAAUCACAGGAGGACUCAAGGCUAGCUCUGACGAUAAAAGCAAUGGCAGUGGUAACUGAAACCAUCACAAGGAGCGCUACAACAGUCAGCCAGCGUUUUCGAAACAGAGCCAUCGCCACGGAAGAAUGCUUCGCCAUGUCCAACACUAGGGCUUGUGAGAGUGCAAAAGUGGAUCUGUGUCACCUUUCUCUGCAUUUUAGAGUUGGGGUUUUUGGUCCGGACUGAUAAUUGGCGUACAUUUGGCUUUUAAUUUGACACUUGGAGAUAAAUAGUUCCUCUUUUUUUUUUUAUAGAUUGAAAUCUCUGGCGCUGUUGGAGUGGCGAAGAUCUACUGCGCCGGAUUCGACAACUGCCGCGGAGACGACUUGGAGCGUUUUGUGUUUGAUGACACGCUUCAAUAUUAAUGGCAAAUUGGC